CAGGUUUAGUAGAUUCGUUUAGAAAAAUUCCUAUAGAUUCGACAUGGAAGAGCCUCUUUUAGAGCUUUCAGAAGAGAAAUAACAGAGGCACUGGUAAACACGGAAAUGGCGUACACUGGAAAAUUUCUCAAUCCAAUUAGACAAUCUUUCUCUUCAAUAUCUUAUUUUUACAGUUCUUCAUCAAUCUCAAGAACAAAAACCUGUAAGCUAUUUAAUAGCAAAUUUGAGCUUGUAAGAGCAUGGAUGAAGCAGCUUGAGCCUUCAAUACAGUGUCGAUGCUCAAACUUUCAGUGUAAAUUGAACUUACACGCACAAUUUAUUCGUAAUUUAUAUUUAUCAGGAAGCAUGAUUGGUGUACCAUUUGUAAUUGGAUCAAUAGGUUUUUCGACUCAGGUUGCUUAUGCCAUGGAUGGGCAAGAAAUUUUGGUGGAUGAUAGAGAUUUUUUAGAUUCUUCCGAUAGAGAAAGAGAUUCUCCUGUUGCAUGGAUGUUCCUUAAAAAAUUUUGGUUACCUGCCUUUUGCUUUCUCACUGUGCUAGUGAAUUGGGACCAUCCAAUCAUUCUUAUUACUAAAGUUGCCCUUUUCCUCCUAAGCACAAAGCCAAGCCCUUUAUCAGUCUAUGUAUUUGUUGAACAGUUGUGUGAUCGAUCCAUGCGCCAGCAGCCCUACAUGUACUUUCUAAAGUCAUUAUAUGCAAACAAAGUUGAAGUUCAAGACUACAAGUUUUUUUGCCUUGCCACAGUUGAAGUGAAAGGCCAGACGCUUACUUUGCUUGGAGUACUUGGUGGUUGGUGGGCUUUGCCAUUAUCACAGACAGCAUUUUCCGUGUUUUUGGAUAGUGUGCUUUACUGAGAAAUGAAGGAAGAAAAAGUACAAAUUACAAAUUUAUUCCUAGAUUCUCAUAAUUAUGAACAACACUUGUUUCUGCGAAAAAGCUACAGUGUUGAACAUUCAGUUUUGAGAAACUAUUGAAGAAGUCCGAGGCAGGUUUGACACCAUUCUGAAGUGGUACAUCGCCUGCUAGGAGCAGCGACGGAUCGAAUCUGCUUGUAAAGAUUGUUUUCUGAAGUGUUUGUUUCGUAGUGACAAAGCUUGCAAUUUACAAGUAAAGUGCAUGACGUACAGGUGCAUCCAAGCUUAUGUAAGGCUGGUAAGCUGAAAGAGAAGUGCAUGACGUACAGGUGUAUACAAGUUUAUGUAAGAGAAAUUUACUGUACAAAUUUUGAUAACUCUGAAUCUUGGAACUUUCCUUCAAAAAAAAAAAAAAAUCUUGCAACUUGCAUGUGGUGUAUGACGCCCAAGUGUGCCAAAAAGGUUGAUGCUAAAAAAAAUUAUAGUACAAGGAAGAUGUUUGACAAUGAGUUGUGAUUGGGUAUUUGGAUUAGUAACAUUGAAUCGAAUCAAAUUUUGAAAAA